AUGUAGACGCAGUGGCAGUAUCGUAGCCAAUGAGGUUUAUCUGAGGCGCGAUUUUAUUGAUAAUUGAAAACUUUCCCCAAAAGUUACAUGUAUAAAUAAUAAGAGACAAAAGCACGUGGUGAUCAUUUUUGAUACUAUUAACCCACUAAUGUAUGGUAUGCUUAAAGAAGU
ensembl:snRNA Gm22717 predicted gene, 22717